CUCCGCGGGGCGCCCAGGGCCUGAGCCCGCCCCCCGCGGGUCCCCCAGCGCGGGAAGAGCUCCGCACUGCGGUUUGGAGCAGAAGAGCACCUGCCCUGCAGCCUCACUGGAGGCUGGCCCUGCAACGCUUUCUGGUUGGAUUUGGGAGACUCUUGAAAUGAAGGUGUUAGCCUUCUCCACUGAAAACAAAGAGAAGAGUUGAUGGGUCUUUCCGAAAGCUCCUGUGGCGACCAGGGCAGCCGUGUCUGGGCAGAACCUUGAAGCUGAUGAGGACGGGGUGCCGAGGCUCAGGGGCCUGGGGCACCAGGAGCUGCAGUCCUCCCCACCUGAGUGGUGUGUACAAGG